UUAAAAAAUAUAUGUAUUUAAAAAAUUAAUUCAGAAAUAUAUUUGACUUUAAAAUCCAAAUAUUUCGAAUAUAUACAUUUGAUUGCUUUGUGGUGUCGCCAUUUCCGGUCGGACACAUUUCACUGCAGCACACAACUUCCUGUGGGAGAGCGUAAAAAAUUCUGUGAAGGAGCUGUCAACUUAAGUGUGUCUUGCAUGAACUGCAUGCGGUAGGAAGAAGAAGCGCCAAGAUGUCUGUCACGGUCGGUCACGAGAGCUUUGCGGUGCGACCCCAGGAUGCAGAGAGCAGGACAAAAUGCAGGCUCCUUCAAUGAUGUCAUUUUUGGAUGCAGAAGAUGCAGGUCAGGAAAAAUUGGGUUCAUUCAUGCCCAAAAAUAGCAACGGCAACGUGUGCUCCCCCAGGUGUGACAAUGCACGCGAGUGUGAACCUGCUCAGUGUUUCCUCCUGCAGCUAGUGUGUGUUCUUGUCUGUAUUUUGUGGUGUUACACUUUUGUUGUGUGGACAUAUUAGUUGGUCCACACAAGACCAAUGCAAAUAUGUGCUUCUUUUCCAAUUAAAUUGUGUGUGUGUGUGUUUGGAUUACUGCACUAUUAAUUGGAAAGACAGUCUGUUUGCUUGCAAGUUGCAAUAAGUCAGUGUUUCUCCCCUGUGUUCAAAUCACACACCUCUAU